AACCACCAUACAAUUUGAGCGGUGGAUCAA
rnacentral:rRNA from 1 species